CCCCAUCUUUCUCCUCACGCACAGCUUCCCCUUCCCCAGAAUUUUUUCCUCCUGCCUUCACGAGCCGAGCCCUCCCUCACUGCCCAGAUCCGUCGCGCCUUCCUCACUACCUCCCUUCGCCGCACGAGCCAGACACGCCGCUCCAGCUUUUGACCACCGCCCAUCGUGCCGAUCUCGCCCAGCCGGCUACUCCAGCUUUUGACCACUGCCCAUCGUGCCGAUCUCGCCCAACCGGUCUGAAUCGCCGCCGCCGCCAUUUCAGCCCCUGACUACCGUACACCGUCGCUGUCUCCCAACAGCUUGAGCCACUGCCGCCUCCAGCCGGUUUCUCCACCGUCCAUCACCGCGCUGCUUAUCUUCUGUUGCGUGGAUCUUCGUUGGACUCUUAGAUUUUGAUUUGAGCUUGGGAAAUUACAGCAGCGACUGUCCAGUGGAUUCAAGAUCGUUCGACAAGAGUUUUGGUAAGAGUUAUGGUCCUUAUUGUUGGUUUGUGAGCACGCUUUGAUUACUGAAUUAAGUUUGACUUAACCCUUGUAUCUUUAAAGUUUCAAGUUGUCAUCCAUUGGAAUUUAAAAUCUGUUAGAAGGAGAUUUUGGAGUGGUUGUUGAUCAAGUUCCUUGGUAAGCUUUUGGGUAUUGUGGUUUUGAAUCUGAUGUGUCGCAAUUAUUAUUGGACUGAAAUUUAAUGGUUGUAUUCGUAUGUUAGGGUCAUUACUUCAAACCGCAGUCAUCGUUUGGUUGUCGGAGUUUAUCUGUGGAAUUUCGAUUAAGGAAAAGAUAAAGAUGUACCGGUGAUGCCGCAACGGAAUUCGUGAUCGUGUCACUGAGACUAGACUUUUUCACUUCCGCAUCUUAAAAUUUGAGUCCUUAUUUUCCCCUUAAUAUUUAGUUUUACUGUUUGAAAUUUAUUUCUAAGGAUUAUCUCUUUUAUAUACUUUUGUUAGUCUUUAAGAAUUUGGAUACCCUAUUAUUGUUUUAACAAUUGCAUUUAA